GGGGGGUGAAGGAGGAAGUGAAACGGGUUCUGGGUUCUUUAAGGGAGUGGGCGGUGAGAGUGGGACAAGGGUGAUGUCACCGCCUGUCGGGCCCCGCCCUCCUCCCUCCCGAAGGACCCCCCCUUACACUUACACACGCCGCUUCCGCUGCGCAAGUAGCCACGUCACGGGCAACCCCCGAAAUCCCCCCUCCCUUGGGGGGCGGGGGCCACGUGGGCCGUGGGGAACCGCGUGGCCCCGACGGGGAAGGGCAUAGAGGAUAUGGGAGCCACGCGAGAGGGGCCACUCGGGACCGCGGCUGUUACUGAGGCGGAGACACGGGUGAUGAUUGGCUUUCUGGGGAGAGAGGAAGUCCUGUGAUUGGCCAGAUCUCAGGAGCUCGCCGAC